rnacentral:rRNA from 1 species
AUUGAACGCUGGCGGCAUGCUUUACACAUGCAAGCCGAACGGCAGCGCGGGCUUCGGCCUGGCGGCGAGUGGCGAACGGGUGAGUAAUGCAUCGGAACGUGCCCAGUAGUGGGGGAUAGCCCGGCGAAAGCCGGAUUAAUACCGCAUACGACCUGAGGGUGAAAGCGGGGGACCGAAAGGCCUCGCGCUAUUGGAGCGGCCGAUGUCGGAUUAGCUAGUUGGUGGGGUAAAGGCUUACCAAGGCGACGAUCCGUAGCUGGUCUGAGAGGACGACCAGCCACACUGGGACUGAGACACGGCCCAGACUCCUACGGGAGGCAGCAGUGGGGAAUUUUGGACAAUGGGGGCAACCCUGAUCCAGCCAUGCCGCGUGCGGGAAGAAGGCCUUCGGGUUGUAAACCGCUUUUGUUCGGGAAGAAAUCCUCUGGGCUAAUACCCCGGGGGGAUGACGGUACCGGAAGAAUAAGCACCGGCUAACUACGU